AGAGUUUGAUCAUGGCUCAGAUUAAACGCUGGCGGCAUGCCUUACACAUGCAAGUCGAACGGCAGCACGGGGGCAACCCUGGUGGCGAGUGGCGGACGGGUGAGUAAUGCAUCGGAACGUGCCCUGAAGUGGGGGAUAACGCAGCGAAAGCUACGCUAAUACCGCAUAUUCUGUGAGCAGGAAAGCAGGGGGAUCGCAAGACCUUGCGCUUUGGGAGCGGCCGAUGUCGGAUUAGCUAGUUGGUGGGGUAAAGGCCUACCAAGGCGACGAUCCGUAGCGGGUCUGAGAGGAUGAUCCGCCACACUGGGACUGAGACACGGCCCAGACUCCUACGGGAGGCAGCAGUGGGGAAUUUUGGACAAUGGGCGGAAGCCUGAUCCAGCCAUGCCGCGUGAGUGAAGAAGGCCUUCGGGUUGUAAAGCUCUUUCGGCGGGGAAGAAAUUGCUUGGGUUAAUACCCUGAGUAGAUGACGGUACCCGAAUAAGAAGCACCGGCUAACUACGUG
rnacentral:rRNA from 1 species